rnacentral:rRNA from 1 species
AUUGAACGCUGGCGGCAGGCCUAACACAUGCAAGUCGAGCGGAGCGGCGGACGGGUGAGUAAUGCCUAGGAAUCUGCCUGGUAGUGGGGGAUAACGUCCGGCAACGGGCGCUAAUACCGCAUACUAUCAGAUGAGCCUAGGUCGGAUUAGCUAGUAGGUGGGGUAACGGCUCACCUAGGCGACGAUCCCUAGCUGGUCUGAGAGGAUGACCAGCCACACUGGGACUGAGACACGGUCCAGACUCCUACGGGAGGCAGCAGUGGGGAAUAUUGCGCAAUGGGCGCAAGCCUGAUGCAGCCAUGCCGCGUGUGUGAAGAAGGCCUUCGGGUUGUAAAGCACUUUCAGCGGGGAGGCGUUACCAACAGAAUAAGCACCGGCUAACUUCGUGCCAGCCGCCGCGGUAAUAC